rnacentral:lncRNA from 1 species
CGGCUGCAGAAUAUACAGAGUCUCUGGUGUUGAUAGAAAGGAUUGUUUACCUAGAGGCAGCUUGGUAUGACAUGUCACAAAGCAUUCUGUUUGAUUAACAGAUAAUAGAUACUGCAGACACUAGCAAAUUAUACUUACCUAGCAGUUGCCGCAUUCCAGCCAUGGAGUCAUAAUCUUAGAAUAAAGGUCUCGGUGUUAAGGUGAAUCUGAGGAAAGUCCAAAAUAUUGCAACUGUUCCAGUUGUUAAAAUUGUAAGCAAAGACGUAUGCUGGCUUAAACACAUCAACAAGACAACAAAACACUCAUUUCAUAUGCUGGUUCCAGUGAUGUUAAUUCAGCUGCAGAUACUUCUGUUCUCAAAUAU